UGGGGAAUAUUGGACAAUGGGCGCAAGCCUGAUCCAGCCAUGCCGCGUGAGUGAUGAAGGCCCUAGGGUUGUAAAGUUCUUUCACCGGUGAAGAUCAUGACGGUAACCGGAGAAGAAGCCCCGGCUAACUUCGUGCCAGCAGCCGCGGCAAUACGAAGGGGGCUAGCGUUGUUCGGAUUUACUGGGCGUAAAGCGCACGUAGGCGGACUUUUAAGUCAGGGGUGAAAUCCCGGGGCUCAACCCCGGGACUGCCUUUGAUACUGGAAGUCUUGAGUAUGGUAGAAGUGAGUGGAAUUCCGAGUGUAGGGGUGAAAUUCGUAAGUAUUCGGAGGAACACCAGUGGCGAAGGCGGCUCCCUGGACCAUUACUGGCGCUGAGGUGCGAAAGCGGGGGGAGCAAACAGG
rnacentral:rRNA from 1 species